AUGCGGUUAGUAUAAAUAAAAUACUUGAUUUCGGCUCAAGAGCUUAUGGUUAAAGUCCAUAACCGUUUA
rnacentral:tRNA from 1 species